rnacentral:rRNA from 1 species
CCUACGGGGUGCAGCAGUGAGGAAUAUUGGUCAAUGGACGAAAGUCUGAACCAGCCAUGCCGCGUGCAGGAAGACGGCUCUAUGAGUUGUAAACUGCUUUUGUACGAGGGUAAACGCAGAUACGCGUAUCUGUCUGAAAGGAUCGUACGAAUAAAGAUCGGCUAACUCUGUGCCAGCAGCCGCGGUAAUACGGAGGAUUCAAGCGUUAUCCGGAUUUAUUGGGGUUAAAGGGUGCGUAGGCGGUCGGAUAAGUUAGAGGUGAAAUCCGAAGGCUCAACUUCUGAAUUGCAUCUGAUACUGUUCGGCUAGAGAGUAGUUGCGGUAGGCGGAAUGUAUGGUGUAGCGGUGAAAUGCGUAGAGAUCAUACAGAACACCGAUUGCGAAGGCAGCUUACCA